AACGAACGCUGGCGGCAUGCCUAACACAUGCAAGUCGAACGAGACCUUCGGGUCUUUUGGCGCACGGGUGCGUAACGCGUGGGAACCUGCCCUUAUGUUCGGAAUAACUCCCCGAAUGGGGUGCUAAUACCGGAUAAUUUCUUCGGACCAAAGAUUUAUCGCCUUUGGUUGUGCCCUCGUUGGAUUAGCUAGUUGUUAGGGUAAAAGCCUACCAAGCCGACGAUCCAUAGCUGGUCUGAGAGGAUGAUCAGCCACACUGGGACUGAGACACGGCCCAGACUCGUACGAGAGGGAGCAGAGGGGAAAAUAGGAAAAUGGGCGAAAGCAUGAAGCAGCAAGGCCGCGAGAAUGAUGAAGGGCUUAGGGAUGUAAAGCACUUUUACCCGGGAUGAUAAUGACAGAACCGGGAGAAUAAGCACCGGCUAACUCCGU
rnacentral:rRNA from 1 species